GACGAACGCUGGCGGCGUGCUUAACACAUGCAAGUCGAACGGAAAGGCCCUGCUUGCAGGGUGCUCGAGUGGCGAACGGGUGAGUAACACGUGGGUGAUCUGCCCCUUACUUUGGGAUAAGCCUGGGAAACUGGGUCUAAUACUGGAUAGGACCAUGCUGUAGGUGGUGUGGUGGAAAGAUUAGUUUCGGUAAGGGAUGAGCUCGCGGCCUAUCAGCUUGUUGGUGGGGUAAUGGCCUACCAAGGCGUCGACGGGUAGCCGGCCUGAGAGGGUGGACGGCCACAUUGGGACUGAGAUACGGCCCAGACUCCUACGGGAGGCAGCAGUGGGGAAUAUUGCACAAUGGGCGCGAGCCUGAUGCAGCGACGCCGCGUGGGGGAUGACGGCCUUCGGGUUGUAAACUCCUUUCAGCCAUGACGAAGCCCAUGUGGUGACGGUAGUGGUAGAAGAAGCACCGGCUAACUACGU
rnacentral:rRNA from 1 species